UUGUUGCUACAUGGUUCGUUGGAAAUGGUUGGUGGAUUCAUUUGCAUCUUUUCUGGAGUUUUAGAUGCAUACACAAAGCUCAGAUACCUUUCAUACGUUAUGGAUAUCUCCACAGCAACAGUAGAUUAUCUUGAUUUGGUGCACGACAUUCUGCUGCCCGUGGUAAUCAAAGACAAAAGUAAGCACACAUUGAGUCACUAAGAGGCCAGUUUUCUGGGAGAAGUUUCUGUUUCUGUUCAAAUUGAGCAGAUACUCACUCUGGUCUUCGAGAAUUUCAAGUAACUUGAUGAAUCAUCGAUGUCGGGUAUUAAAGAUGUAUUCGGACCUGCAACAGGAUUGGCUGCACCUGCACUUGAUCCAGCUUUGUAGCUCUACAAAUGGUUGCAUGCUAUUCUUUCCCCGAGAUUGCUACGAGAAAAAGGUCAAUCAGGCACUUGUUUGAAAUUGAUGAGUUCUUUUCGACUAAUAACGAAAACAUGUUAUUGGAUCCCGUGGCUGUCUCCACAGCAUAUAUGAAAGGAAAAACUAAUGCAUGGGUCUCAAGAUGUGAAGGUAGCAGUGAAAAACAAAGUUCCUCUUGUAAGGUCGUUGACUUGAGCUGUGUUACAUUCUGUAUUGAAACAAGUAACACAGCGACCAUACCUAAGGUUCACGAGGAAUAUGUUCCCUCAUUUAUUUUGGAG